rnacentral:piRNA from 1 species
UGCAGAUUUUAGUUGCAAACUUUGGUUGCG